AAAGGACAACUCUGCAAGUAUCAGAAGACGUGAGAUGCAGUAUUUUGGAAUGCCAUCUUAUUAUUGAAAUGCAAGAGAAAAUCUCCUCCCAUAGUUGGUGAUAUAUGCUGUCACGUGGUUUCUCGCUCACACUGACUCUAUGACGUCAUGACCUCGAAUGUAUCCUAAGGAGUGGAAUUUGCUGAUACUUAAGAUCGUGCCGUUUUACACAAGAGUUGACCCGAGCACCUUCUCACGGUCACCAGCCUCCGAUGCCAGCUUUUUUUCCAGAUCUGACGAAGAUCUGAAUGUGACUUUUUGGGUUCCUCUAACUUUAAAGAAGAAAGGUGGGGGAACAAAUGUUAUGAGAAUCAUUAAUCUGUAAUAAUUAGUCUCAGCUCUGCUCCCUAGGGGGUGCUAUUUCCAAAUGAAAAAAAAACCUUCAGCCUAUUAUCACAUGCCUGUUAUCAAUCUGGACAAGAAGGCUGAAUGAACUUCUGCGCAUAAUAUUAAGGUAUAAAAUAAACACACAUUUUCUUUUCUGGCA
rnacentral:lncRNA from 1 species